UACGUAGGGUGCAAGUGUUAAUCGGAAUUACUGGGCGUAAAGCGUGCGCAGGCGGCUAUGCAAGACAGAUGUGAAAUCCCCGGGCUCAACCUGGGAACUGCAUUUGUGACUGCAUAGCUAGAGUACGGUAGAGGGGGAUGGAAUUCCGCGUGUAGCAGUGAAAUGCGUAGAUAUGCGGAGGAACACCGAUGGCGAAGGCAAUCCCCUGGACCUGUACUGACGCUCAUGCACGAAAGCGUGGGGAGCGAACAGG
rnacentral:rRNA from 1 species